GGGCGGGUAGCGUAGUGGUCAGCGUGCUAAUUAAGCGUAUUUCAGCGUUGCUUUACCAGCGUUUAGCGAGAGCCCUGCGUUCGAAUCCCAGCCCGCCCA
rnacentral:tRNA from 1 species